rnacentral:rRNA from 1 species
AGCUCGUGUCGUGAGAUGUUGGGUUAAGUCCCGCAACGAGCGCAACCCUUGUCCCUAGUUGCCAUCAGGUUAAGCUGGGCACUCUAGAGAGACUGCCGGUGAUAAACCGGAGGAAGGUGGGGAUGACGCCAAGUCAUCAUGGCCCUUACGUCCCGGGCUACACACGUGCUACAAUGGCUGGUACAGAGGGCUGCAAAACCGCAAGGUCGAGCGAAUCCCAAAAAACCAGUCUCAGUUCGGAUUGGAGUCUGCAACUCGACUCCAUGAAGUCGGAAUCGCUAGUAAUCGCAGAUCAGCAGGCUGCGGUGAAUACGUUCCCGGGCCUUGUACACACCGCCCGUCAAGUCAACCGAGUUGAGUGCACCCGAAGUCGCUGUACCAACCCUUUGGGAGGAAGGCGCCGAAGGUGUGCUUGAUGAGAGGGACUAAGUCGUAACAAGGUAACCAAUC